rnacentral:tRNA from 1 species
CCUGGUGGCUCAGAUGGUAAAGCGUCUGCCUGCAAUGCAGGAGACCAGGUUUGAUCCCUGGGUCAGGA